CCUACGGGUGGCAGCAGUGAGGAAUAUUGGUCAAUGGGCGGAAGCCUGAACCAGCCAAGUCGCGUGCGGGAAGACGGUCCUAUGGGUUGUAAACCUCUUUUGUCGAAGAACAAACGCGCCCACGUGUGUGCGGCUGAGUGUACCCGAAGAAAAAGCAUCGGCUAACUCCGUGCCAGCAGCCGCGGUAAUACGGAGGAUGCGAGCGUUAUCCGGAUUUAUUGGGUUUAAAGGGUGCGUAGGCGGACAGUAAAGUCAGCGGUAAAAAUGCGGGGUUAAACGCCGUACAGCCGUUGAAACUGGUAGUCUUGAGAGGGCGAGCAGUAGGCGGAAUGCGUGGUGUAGCGGUGAAAUGCAUAGAGAUCACGCAGAACUCCGAUUGCGAAGGCAGCAUACCGGCGCCCGACUGACGCUGAGGCACGAAAGCGUGGGGAGCGAACAGGAUUAGAUACCCCGGUAGUC
rnacentral:rRNA from 1 species